rnacentral:misc_RNA from 1 species
CCUCCAGCCUCUAUUGUUGUCUUUUGUUUGCGACGUGCUUUACUGCGCAACCUGCGCCCUGCCCUCUUACUCCUCUUCCUUGAAGAAGAAACUUUAUUAUGCUUAGAAGAAACUUUGUUCCCACUCUUGGCCAAAACAACACCUAUCCUUCUAUGCUCUUCUAUCUGAAUCUUGUUGGUCCCAUUAUUUACGGCCAUAGAACUAUCAUUGGCAAGCAAAUCUUGUCGCGUAUUCUGUUCAGUGUCUGG